UCCCAGUCGAUCUCCUACAAUGGAUGGAUCCCAGAUGAGCUUCUACAACGGGACAGGCCCCACCGACCAGGUCACCACUCCGAGCUUCCAUGACAACCGAUCUUCGACCAAGCCUCUACAACAAGCAGCCUCCUUUCAGCCUUCUGCAAGAACCGGACUUUGUCCGAACUUCCACAGCAGAUGGAUUUCGGACGAGCUCCUACAACAGACGGGCUCCAGCAGCUGGAUUUCUACAACGGCCAAUCGCCUCCGGUGUCUACCGAACCUCCCCAGCCAUCAGCCUUCAAUAGCGUCAGUCAGACUUCCACAACGCC
rnacentral:lncRNA from 1 species